ACUGGGGUUGGGUGUUGCCCCAGGAGACCGCCUCCAGGGCUUGCUUCUUCCUUGGUCCCUGCCUGGUUGGGUGGGUGGGUGAGGCGCAGCCAUUUGCCAGUUCGCCUUCAGUUAUGUUUUGGGGGACUGUGGUUCCUUACCUACACUUGUUGUGACAUUCACUUUCAAAGCGCGUGGCUCCUCUCUGUCAAAGCCGCUAAAUUACGACUUUUUUUAUAAGGGAGAAAAGUGAAGUUUCUCAAGCCCCUAAAUAGCAGAGAGGAGCAUUAAAUAUGCACCUUGGCUUCCGGCCACCCCGCCUUAGUCUAAUUCCUGUUGCUUUACUUUCAACAGAGAAUAGAAAUUCCGCUUACAUGAUGUGUGUUCAUACCACAAUUCCAAAUAUUUUCACCUAACCAAAAUAGGUAAAAGAAAAACAUGUUGUAGACCAUGAAAGGUGUCAAUGAGAAACUGAUAUUGGUUGAACUCCUUUCAGUCGUUACCAUUCAAUAAUUUCAUACAGCAUGCAGACAGGAUCUUUAAGAAUUGCCUAGCACAUGUCAGGAACAGUUAUUUCUAAGCCUUAUAUGGAGAAUGUAGCACAAAUACAUCUUGGUUCAAAUGGAAUAGGGCCAAGAAAUGAAAUUUGUAGUGAUUAUCAUCUGUAAGGUCUUUAGUUGUGUUAAAACCUUGAUUUUUUUUUUUUUUUUGCUCUCCCAAGUAGCCACACUUUAUUUGAUAAAGCAAGGUUCUACUAAAUACUUACUGUGCUUCAAGUGACAUACAAAUGUAUAUUGAUCACUUUCUACCCCCACUGAAAGGUAUAAUCGAGUAAAGUAUCAAAAUCAAACCAACAGUCUAAAUUACAAAAACAGGUAUAAUUACUGAGAAAUGCUACAUAGAUCUACAGACUUAAAAUGAAGUCAGUCAAACUGCUUUUAAAAUCAUGUGAAUACAUAGAUCAACUCCAGAAACAAAAUCAAACAUGAACUCUAGAGUCUGAGCUAGCAGAACUGCUCCUCCACCUGUCCCAGGCAAAGCUUCUUGUCUGGAGUUGAUCUCUGUAUUUACAUGAUUUUAAAAGCAGUUUGACUAACUUCUUUGCCAAAAGAAGUUUUCCUAAUAGUUUGCCUACUGGAAUCUUCACUAGCAGAAGGAUCUGUUUGAAUCUACACAACAGCAAUGGGGCAUUUCCUCAUUAUUCUGCCACUUCUCUUGCAAUGUGCUGUCUUCUCUAAAAUCAAAUCCUUUAUUAUCAAAAUGAUAUUUUAGCAGUUUGAUAGCAUUUUAUUAUUUUAAUGACAGAAACUCCUAAAGGCAAACAGGAUAUAUAUCCACCAAAACCAUACUGCCACUCUGCUUGAUGGUCUGUAAAAGAUUUAAUUAUGCUUGUCAGCUCUUUAGCAUGGUUCAGUUGGUUUUAAAUUGCUCUGACCUAAUUGAAGUUAUUGUGUGCAAAUAAUGGUCACUCCGAGUGUUCACAGGCUAGUGGCUGCUCUUCAUGAAGAUAGAACAGCUCAUGUGAGGAGUUCUCAACAAAUAGCCAUUGGGCAACAUCUUUCUGAAGGAAGAUGCAAGUUCAUCAAUAAGAGCGAUGUCUUGGGACACACAGGCUAUUGCUGAAUGACCUCCAUAUGCAUUAUCUUAGCUACAGAUAGCAACAGAUGUUACUAUGACAAGAACUGGACAGCAUCUACCAGAAGCACAGGUCUUCCUAUCUAUAGAUCUUUUAGAUUUUAGGAGACAGGAUAUACAGUUACAUUUACAAUGCACAACCACUGAUAGCUGGUGCUACUACCAAACACUACUAAGAUUCUAAACUUAAAGUCAAAAUGACCUAAGUUCUACUUUUAAGUAUGUGAGAGCUAAUCUUUGUUGUCCACCUUUCUACAUUUCAAGUCAACUAAAACCCAAGCUGCUGUCCAUUCCUGUGAGGGACUUUUGUCAUCAGAUCAUUUGAAUCAGGAAGGACCACCCUAAAUCUGGGUUGUACCUUCUGUGACAGUCAAGAAAAAUACAUGACAUGAGAGAAGAAAAUACUGGUUUUUGACUGCUUGCCCUCACAUUCCCUGAAAGUUCAUCUGUUACUACUUCCUGCCUUCACAGGGUAUUAGAACCACUUACUUUUAAUUCCAAGGAGACUGAAGACAAGUGGCUCUCUGUGAAUCCUCUGGGAUUUCUGUGGCAGAUAGGGACUCCUAAGACAUCUAAAAUCUGGGACUGAACAAUUCAGGCUUUCCAGUGUGAGACAGCCAUUUUUUUGGACUAUCUGAACCACAUCCUGUAAGCCAAUCUAAUAAAUCCCCAUGGAAUAUUUACAAUCACUCCUUUGGUCUGUUCUGUGAGAUACUAAUAUAAAUACAAGUUGAGGCUGUGCUGGCAAACAAAAACUUUGUGUUUCUAUGACUUAUCCAAAGAAUCAAACAUAAAGACACUCCAAGAACCAGGAGUCUUCGAAGUGUCAAAGUCAUCAUCAAUGCCACGGCCAGGCUGCCAGCUCAACUUUAGUUCAUGAGUUUACUGGUGGUAUUAUAGGAGGUUUUGUUUGUUGCUACUUCAUUAACUGAUAUGCACAACUCCUAUUUCUGUUAGAUUGUGGAGCUCACACACAAAGCUGCAGCAGAAGCAGGAGGCACAAAGGGGAAAUGGAGGUGAUGAUGCUUGGCUGGUUGGAAAGGAAUGAGCUCCAAGAAUAAAGCUGCAAGUCAGGUACAUGAUCCUUCUCACUGUUGGCCGACUAACUACAUCACUGGUGUGGCUGCUGAUAGUCUUUUGCCACAGUUAACAGUUUUCUUCCUAUGAUUUUAUGCUUCCAAUCUGCCUUUGCUGCUACAAAUGGUAAUUUACCAGACUAGCCAUUAAAAUGAACAAAAUAUAUAUUUCUUAUAGUUCUUCAAAGUCCAAGGUCAAGAGGUUGUUGAACAGAUUGAUUCUGUUCUUCACAGGACAGACAGAAGAGCAGGAAAGACAAAUACCUCUCGAAAGCCUCAGAUCCCAAUACCAUUUCAUUGAGGAGACCACAUGACCAAGGCAACUGCUAAAAGAGAAAGCCUAAUUGGGGCCUUGCUUACAGUUUCAGAGGAUUAGUUCAUUAUUAUAAUGGCAGGGAGCAUACAGGCAUGGCACUGGAGUAGUAGCUGAGAGCUUUACAUCCUGAUCCACAAAUAGAGAGUUUGAGAAAGAGGGCCUGCAAGGGCUUUAAAACCUCAGAGCCCAGCCCUGCACCAGUGACAUACCUUCUCCCAAAGGCCCCACCUCCUAAUCCUUUAAUGAGCCUCUGGUGGCUGUUCUCAUUCAAAUCACCACAUUCUACUUCCCCACAUCAGUAAGCUUGUAGCCAUGUCAUAAUGCAAAAGCCAACUUCAAAAGCCCCAUAGUUUUUCACAGUCUCAAGACUGUGAAAUGUCAAAAGUCUCUUCUGAGACUCAUCAUAAUCUUUUAAUUGUAAUAUCCUUCCCCCAUAAAAGCAAAAAUCAAAAAGCAGAUCACAUACUUCCUACAACAUACAAUGGCACAAAACAUACGUUACCAUCGCAAAGGAGAAGAAAGGGAGUAAGGAAAUGCUGAACCAAAGAAGACUGAAGCCUGGCAGCACCAACUCCACAUCCGCAUUUCCAUGUGUGAUGUCCAAGUGUUGUUGACACCCCCAACUUCUUUCAGCUUUGUUGAUUGAACCAUGCUUCUCUCUCUUGGGCUCCACACCUGGUCUGCCUCUCUCCUCGGCAGUUACCCCACAGUUCAGCAUCUUCAACAUCUUGGUGUCUCUAAUGCAAUCCAGGCUUUACCUUCACAGCUUCAUGAGAUGGCCUCAUGCCCUCCAUGCAUGCAGUGACUCCCUGCCACAUGCCUGGCUCAGUGCCUUUCUUUAACCACAGAGGAAGACCCCUUUACUUCUCCUGCAUUCUUCCUUUCUUUUUCUAUUUCUUUGUAUUACUAUUGAAAAUUGUACAUACAGCAAAUCGUGACCACUCCUCCCUCCACUCCUCCCAGCUCCUCCCCCUACCUCCUUUCUCCUCUAGAUUCACCCCCCCCUUCAUUUCCCUUCAGAAAAAGAGCAAGCCUCCAAGAGACAACACCCAAACAUGACAAAACAAGGUGCAAUAGGACCAGGAAGAAGCCCUUAUAUCAAGGCUGGAAAAUGCAACCCAAUAGGAGGAAAAGAAUCUCAAGAGCAGUCGAGUCAGACACACCUAGUCCCACUGUUAAGGUUCCCACAAGAACACCAUGCUAAGAGCCAUAGCAUGUAUUUGUCUUAUACAGCAGGAACCAUUUGGCCAAAUCUGUUAAGUUCUUUUCUGUUUGCUGGGGCUGGAACUUAAAUAAUGUUGGUAACAGCUUUCUGUUGUGGUUUAGGCCUAGGAAACCCCUCAGACCUAUUCCUUUUAUAGGUUGUCAAACCUCCAACAAGGCCUCAUCUCCUAACCCUUCCAAUCUUUCUCAAACAGUACACCAACUGAGAAAUAAGCAUGUAAAUAUAUAUGUCUAUAGGGGCUAUUAUCAUUCAAACCACAGUGGCCGUAUUUUUGUUGUUGUUUGAAAAUGUAUAUCUUUAGUUAAUCAUUGCAAAAUACUUUGUAUUUUGUAGAUGUUAUCCCAGAUCCUUUUAAAUAUUAACUUUAUCUGGGCAACUCCGCAAUCCAGGUAUUCUUAUUUCACAAAGGAAGAAAUGGAGGCACAGAAAGCUAGUUAACUGUCUAAACUCAUUGGACUGGAUUCCUGGUUCUAGAGGCACUUCUGACUCUGUAAGUGUUCACAUCUGAUGAGAAAAAACCACAAAUAUGCUCUUGUGCCAUCUUAGAGAAACUUGUUUCAUUAAACAUGCUUCAUAUAUUUGCUGUCCCGAGCUACCAUACAACAAAAGGUACUUGAAGGUCAAAAGCAAAGAAAAGCAGAUAAUUUAAAUAUCUGUGAAAUCUCAAUCAAUUCUGGACUACCACUCAUUCACCUGUUUAGAGAGUUAUCUUUCAUCUUCUCCUAUAGACAUUAUCAAGGUCCUGUGACAAAUAUGUGAGGCCUCAGUGCCUUUAUCUUGCCAGUACCCUCUAUGUUCUUUUGGCAUCACCUUUAACUGACAUCUACAAAAGCAAUCUGAUGCUGCUGGCAUGAAACUCACUGUAAUGCAUAUUUAUUUAUCUUUAUCUUUGCAAAGAAGUUUUCUAUCUCAUUACAACCUUUGAUGCUAAUAUAGACUAGGGCCAGAUGGGGGAGCUCUCAGAAGGAUUCUCAAUUGGAUUUUGACCAACCCAAGCCAGGAGGCAGUUUCCAUGAGAAAGGGAAGCCAAAACUACUGGAAGAAAACUCUAAAAGACCAGAGGUGGAUGGUGGUGGAGCACUGGAAGGGCGACUGAGCCUCCACUAACGUGGUUCUGCUCAUUUUCUGUAACACUGGAAUGAGGAAUGAGAGUGUGAAGAACACAAAGCUGACUGUAAAUCACCAUGGAAAGAAAACAUACACUAAUGCUAUUCUUACUGAGUAACAAAUGCUAGAUCCAUAAAUUUAGUGAGAAUAUGUUUAAGCUAUGAUUUUUUUCCCUGAAAUUCAUAACUGAGGCUAAAAAUAACUUAAAAGCACUCCAGGCAAUAUUUCUGUUGCCAGGGAAACAACAAGAGAAUGCUAACCAGAAUCAUCCAAAUAUACCAAUAUUAAUAGCCAACUGAUCACAUCCUAGGUUAAUUUAUAUUUUAUUUCAGGAGAAAUAACAAUUAUUAAUUUGUGUAACUGUCUAAGAAUUCUGGUCAAAUUUCCAGGUGGAAUAUACCUGUCAGAUGACCUAAUGUAGUCCCGUUCUUUGAUCUUCAACACAUGGAAUAUAGAAAGGUUUCCCUGUUUCUAACCUCUUAAAUAUGUGAUUAGCUAAACUGUGACACAACAAAUUCUUAAUCACAGGAGGAUUUGGUCCUCUGAAGUACACAGGUAUUUAGCCAAAGGCUAUUUAUAGUCCACACUUGGCACAAAUGCAUGCUAUGAUCCCAAGGUGUGGUAAGCAGAGGACAGUAGGUCACCUAGACAAUGUGAAUGGCUGUGAUCCCAAAGUGUGGUAAGGGGAGGACAGUGGUGACCUAGACAAUGUGAAUGGUUGUGAUCUCAAGGUGUGGUAAGCAGAGGACAGUGGUGACCUAGACAAUGUGAAUGACUGUAAGGAACAUGUAAAUGGACAGGCAGAAGCCUGGCUGGAAGGAGAAUAGGAAAGUGAACACAGACUCGUAAUUCAAAUACUAGAGAUAAGAAUGAAUGGGAGUGUGCAUGUGUGGCAGAGUGUGAUAAGCAAGGUAUUUAAGGACCAGCUCAGACCUGAGAAGCAGAGUCCACAAUAACUGUGUGAGCUCUCCUCCACCUGAGAAGCCAGGCCACUAAGCUGAGAGCCGCCUGCCUGAUCCAGACAUCAAGACCAACACCAGAGACCUCAGUGGACUUGUUGCUUGAAUUGAGAGGAACCUCGAGACAUCGCGAGCCGUGGCCCUGAGCCAAACAGAUACCCCGAUUGUGAGCCUAGGUGCUAUGGUCCCUAGGGCUUUGCUUCUGCUCAUGUGUAUAUAAGUGUGAAGUAAAAGAUAUACUCAAAACCC